GAUCAAGGUAGGGAUUUACCCGCUGAACUUAAGCAUAUCA
rnacentral:rRNA from 1 species